AGAUGUUAGACAUUGCCUAGAUGUUAUGCAUAUCGAAAAAAACGUAUGUGAUAGCUUGUUGGGCUUAUUGUUAAAUAUUCCCGGUAAAACGAAAGAUGGGAUAAAUGUCCGUAAAGACAUGGUAAAUAUGGGAAUACGUAAAGAGCUUGCCCCUGUUGAGAGAGACAACCGUAUUUUUCUGCCACCUGCAUGUUAUACUAUGUCAAGAGAAGAAAAAACAAAGUUUUGCAAAUGUUUACAUGAUAUUAAGUUCGUGGAGUGUUACCAGAGAACAUCCGACAUACAAUCACAAAACUUUGUUUGUUUUUUAACACGAUUCACUCGAAAGUUAUUGAUCCCGAGUCACUGGAUACAUGGCAAAAAGAAGUUAUCAUCACGCUCUGUGAACUAGAGAUGUACUUUCCACCGUCUUUUUUUGAUGUUAUGGUUCACCUAGUAUCCCAUAUAGUAGGGGAAAUUAAGGCUUGUGGCCCUGUGUUUCUACGUUACAUGUACCCCUUUGAAAGAUAUAUGGGUUUUUUAAAAGGUUAUGUAAGAAAUCCUAACCGACCUGAGGGUAGUAUUGUUGAGGGAUAUGCUUCCGAGGAAGUGCUUGAAUUUUGUACAGGUUAUUUGGAAGGUGUGGAUAGUAUUGGUGUACCUCAAUCUCGUCACUCGGGUAACUUGAUGGGGUUGGAGGUGUUGGUAUGAAAAACAUCAUCCCAAGUCGUGACACUUUACAAAUUGCACAUUUAUUAGUCCUAAAACACAUGACUUGUCUUGCUCCAUUUGUUGAAGAACACAUGAACAUUUUACGGGCGACAUACCAGGGUAAGGAUAAUAUGUGGUAUAUAAUAAAGCAUAAUAAGGAGUUUUCUAGUUGGAUGAAAACUAAGGUAACAACAACUAAGGUUGACAGAAUUGUGGAAAAGUUAGGGCAAGGUCCAGAUUUUAAAGUUAAAUCUUACCAAGGGUACGACAUUAAUGGUUACACGUUUUAUACUAAAGAUCAAGAUGCAAAAAGUACAAUGCAGAACAGUGGAGUUACAAUAAUAGCAUCAACGGCUGAAUUUGAUAGGAUGAAUCAUGAUACAAUGAAAAGAAUUGCUAAAGAUUCUUAUUACGGUGUCAUACAAGAAAUUUGGGAAUUAGAUUAUUAUGAUUUCACUCAAACUGUGUUUAGAUGUAAAUGGGUGAAUAAUCGUACAGGUGUCAAAGUUGAUAAAUACGGUUUUACUCUUGUAGACCUUAAAAGUGAUGGCUAUGCAUCUGAACCAUUUGUUCUCGCAAAACAUGUCAGACAAGUGUUUUUUGUCAAUGACCCGAGCAACCCAAGAUACCACAUCGUCUUGCAAGGUAAACGACGUAUUAUUGGUGUCGACAAUGUCGCUAAUGAGGAAGAAUAUGACCAGUUUGAUGAUCUACCACCAUUUUCAGUCGGUAUUCAACCAGGUAAUUACAGGAUUGAAGGCACCACAUACUUACGAUCUGACCACACGGAAGGGACGUAUUGCUGAUAAACCACAUCAAACUAAAUGAUCAAGGAUAGACAAUGAUGAAGAUAAGCCAUGUGAUAGAUGAUCUCAUUUUUAUUGAACUUUUUCUAGUGGAAACUUAGUAAAAGAUUGUUAUUUUGUGUCUAAUUUUUUUAAUUAUCACUAGAUUUUUUAUUGGUUUUUUCUUGUGGUAAAGUUGUAUAGUCAAAUAAUUUUUCUUUCGCAUCUUAAUUAAUGAUUAUUGUUU